rnacentral:snRNA from 1 species
GGAUGUGACGGUGACUGGCUGUGGUAUCUGUCCCCCUCUGAGGACUGCUUGGGCUGACCUGCCUGGGCAGGCGGCUGUCCCCUUCCUCCUUCACUGCUCUAUGCGGAGCUGCGUGCGUGGCUGGAGAGGACGGCCUGGCCCAAGCAGAGACAGACCAUCCGGGGUUUGUGCUCCCCUGCUCGAACCUCCAAACCGGCGCUCACAAGCAAGCGUGGGACUCCGCUGAGCCUCACAACCAAGUGUCCAUACCUGUCACUGCAACAUAAACAACAG